rnacentral:rRNA from 1 species
GAUUUCUGGUUUGGUGCGCGCGGUCCGCUGCGGUUUCGUAGCGUGUGCUGUUGUGCGCCUGCCAUCGUUUGAGGCAGGGACGUGCUCUUCACUGGGUGCGUCUUUAUCUCAAUCUUUUACUUUGAAAAAAUUAGAGUGUUCAAAGCAGGCUUGCGCUAUGAAUACAUUAGCAUGGAAUAAUAAUAUAGGACUUCUGUUCUAUUUUGUUGGUUUCUAGGAUGGAAGUAAUGAUUGAUAGGGACAGUUGGGGGUGCUAGUAUUCAGAGGCCAGAGGUGAAAUUCUUGGAUUCUCUGAAGACUAACUUAUGCGAAAGCAUU